rnacentral:rRNA from 1 species
AGUGAACGCUGGCGGUAGGCCUAACACAUGCAAGUCGAACGGCAGCACAGUAAGAGCUUGCUCUUACGGGUUGCGAGUGGCGGACGGGUGAGGAAUACAUCGGAAUCUACUUUUUCGUGGGGGAUAACGUAGGUAAACUUACGCUAAUACCGCAUACGACCUACGGGUGAAAGCAGGGGAUCUUCGGACCUUGCGCGAUUGAAUGAGCCGAUGUCGGAUUAGCUAGUUGGCGGGGUAAAGGCCCACCAAGGCGACGAUCCGUAGCUGGUCUGAGAGGAUGAUCAGCCACACUGGAACUGAGACACGGUCCAGACUCCUAAGGGAGGCAGCAGUGGGGAAUAUUGGACAAUGGGCGCGAGUCUGAUCCAGCCAUACCGUGUGGGUGAAGAAGGACUUCGGGUUGGAAAGACGUUUUGUUGGGAAAGAAAAGCAGAAGGUUAAGACGCCGCUGGUGUGACGGUACCAAAAGAAUAAGCACCGGCUAACUUCGUG